CCCCUCAUUGCGCCGGGCGCCCAUCAAUCAGCCCCGCCGCUGCCAGUCCUCGGGCGGCUCCCCGCGCCGCUGCCAUUGCAGCUCCGUGCCGGGGGCGCCAGCACCGGCCUCGCAGCUCCCUCGCCCGGCCGGGGAGGUAAACAAAGUGAAAUAUCCUUCCGCGGCCCGGGGCCCCGGGCGCAGCACCCUGGGUGUCGGCUGCGAGCCGGCUGCGAGCCCAGCUGCGGGCGGCUGGGCCGGGGUUACCAGCAGCGACUCCCGAGCCGUUCCCCACACGCUGCUCCCGCAGCGCCCGCUCCAGCUCUUCGUAGCUCGUUCAUGUUCCUGGCGCUUUUCCCCAGAAAGCCAGGCACGCUCUGAGCAUUGGGCCCCCAGGCUCAGAUGUGGCCCUGAAUGAGGAGCUCUGUUUUGGAAGAAUGCGCUUUCAUCGGUAUUGCUGCCUGGAGUUUCGAGAAUUCGUUUCAUGGUAUCUCUCCGACAUCCUCCUCUCCAUUUAAAAGGAAAUCCAUUGCUUCCUUUUAGUUGGUGUCACCGCUUGCCCCCGAUCCCCACAUCCUGGGCUUGUAUUUCUAGUGUUUUCAGCAGAAGAGGAACUGAAGGCAUCUUUUGAUUCAGGAAUCAACAAGACUUUCUUACACACACAGCGUGACCAUAAGUGGAGAGAGAAAUGUGCCAGAGUAAAGACAGCCAUACAUACUUGACACUUCUCCCAUUAAAAAGUGGAGUCUAUUUCCUUCCACUUGAAUCUGCACUGACCUGAGACUGCUUGGACCCAUAGGAAAUGGCAGAUAUGACAUAUGGCCAGUCCCAGGCUUUGCCUUGGAGAGACCUAGAAACUUCUACCAUAGUCUCUUGAAGCUUCGAGGUGGCAGGAAAUAAAUCCAACCAGCUACCUGGCCGGAGAAAUCAGCAGGAAAGGCCCCAAGAAUAUGUGAAGAAGGAGAUGGGCCUGGUAGAGCCCAGGCUUCCAACCAACUGACAAGACUCCAGGCAUGGUAAUAAAACCAUCUCGAUACUUCUAGCAGCAGCAGCAGCAGCAACCAACAGAACAUCACUAAGUGACCCCAGUUGUGCCAUCUGCCCCAGUUCCUGCUGCACAAAACCAUGAUAUAAAGAAGUGGGUUAUUUUACAUCAAAGCUGACUAAGGAUUGGAACCAAAAGAGGGAUGUGGAAUCUGGAAAGAAUGCAGAAUAAAAGCAAGAGAGCCACAGACAGACUACAGAUGGCAAGCUACACAACUCCA
rnacentral:lncRNA from 10 species